rnacentral:rRNA from 1 species
UACGUAGGGUGCAAGCGUUGUCCGGAAUUAUUGGGCGUAAAGAGCUCGUAGGCGGUUCGUCGCGUCGGCUGUGAAAACCUGAGGCUCAACCUCAGGCCUGCAGUCGAUACGGGCGGACUUGAGUACUGCAGGGGAGACUGGAAUUCCUGGGUGUAGCGGUGAAAUGCGCAGAUAUCAGGAGGAACACCGAUGGCGAAGGCAGGUCUCUGGGCAUUAACUGACGCUGAGGAGCGAAAAGCAUGGGGGAGCGAACAGG